GGGAGGGACAGUUUUUCUCACUUGUAACGAGUUCCUUUUGGAAAAGCAUUUGACAGCCAGGGACAGGAGCUGGUGGGGCAGGGUUAGUUUUGGGGGAAAGCAGAACCACAGUUAGCUUUAGCGUAAAAAGAAAAAUCUUCGUUUUUUUUUUAUGUAUGUGUAAUCCAAGAAGAACGAGACUCUACCAGACCAGGAGGGAAGAUGGACCCUAAACAAAAUAAGAUGGAAUAUGAAGCCCCUGGUCUGAUAUAAAGCCCCUACUGGAUUCUUUGGAUACGUGUAAGAAGUUGCCUGUUUAGCCUGAAGACUGGUGGGGACACCUACAUCAGACUUUGUUGUGAGACAGGUGGAUUUUUUUUAUUUUAUUAUAUGCAGGUGAGUGUUGAAACUGUUAAAAUCCCAAUUCGUUUUCAUUCAGUGUUAGUUCUAAAUAGAGCAGACCCCCUCCAGGUGCUAUCAGAUGACCAGUUACUGCUUAGUUAACUAGGUGUAAAGUUUUACAUAUACAUUCAUGUCAAUAGUUUAUUACACGUUGUGUAAAAUGGACUCUAGUUUAAUAAUGGGGAGAAAGGAUUAGGUUGCUCCUGAAACUGACUGUAGAGCAUGGAAAAUGAUUUUACUGGAUUCUGUUCAACUGUAAUCAAUGAAAAGGAUGUAUGUUGUAGACAAAAUUGCAGAAUUAAAAAGAAAUCUGCUUUUAAUUUAUUCUUUUUGUAUUAAGAAUUUGUAUAGUACCUUUACAUUUUGCAAAACAGUGUUGUCAACACUUAUUAAAGCAUUUUCAAAAUGAAAAGAU